ensembl:snRNA U6 U6 spliceosomal RNA
AUGUUCUCUUUGGCAACACAUACACUAAAACUUGAAUUAUAUGGAGAAGGUUAGCAUGGCACCUCACAAGGAUUACAUGCAGAUUUGUGAAGUGUUCCAUAUUUGG